UUACAUCUCCACUACUGACAGACUGCAGCCUAGCUGGCAGGACUGGAAGGCUACUGCAACUUGUGGGGUCACAUGCUGACCAUGCAAAUAGGCCUAAGCCUGAGUUAAUGAAACAUAGACCCCCAUCCAUGUUUACACAGGCAAGGUGUGCUCUGAAAGCCCUUUCCGCCAGGUCAAAACUUUGAGAAAGAUCAAGAAAGUCAAUACAACGGACAAUAUCCUUCACCUGUUCAAAGAAGACCGUGACCUCUGGCUAAGCACAGAAGGCCACGGUACGCAGAGAAAGCAUGCAUGCAGCCCAGAAACCGAGGAGAUUCGGGCCUUGGCUUUGAAGAUUAGCAUGACAGACCAAAGGCAGCCAUCGAGGCCGGUCUUUCCAUUUCAGAAUCAAAGCCACUCUGCCACAAUGAUAGGAGCGUGCUGUUAGUAACUGCUCGCAGAGAGGCUAUCCGGAAGCUUUGGUAUGGCUCUCUUGUUGCCUGCAUGUCUGUCUCCAGUGUGGGAGAUAUUUGUGUUGGUUUGGGCUCCAAACAUUGCGUAGGAAAGUGAUUCACAGACAAAGCACAGGACAUCUCGGCCUCCUCACUGGCAACUAGAAAAGCAGCCCUGCUGAGUGAGACUUGCCGUAAUGGCUUUUGUUUCCAUGUCCGUGCUACAGCAUGUCAGGGCUAUUUCUGGCCCAGCCGUCCUCUGCAGGGGCUCGACACGUUUGGCCAGCGCAGGAGGAGGAGGGGGCAGAGCGCAGACACUGCCAGCAUGAGAACGCCUGAUAAAAUGCUUGGAGGAAGUCAGCGCUGUUUAUCUGAGCCCUGGCAUGGCUGCUCUGGCCGUUGAAAUAUGUAGCAUGGCAAAUAGCCGCAAAUAGUUGCGAGCUCUGCGGCGUGCUAUCUUAACGGGCUCCUUUUAAACACAUGUGCAGGGCCCUGGAACAUUGGUGGUUUCGAGCGCUCCGGGCCAUGACUGGACAAUUUUCAUACUUUCACGCUUUGGUGAAUGGCCAAGACCAACAAGCUGGAGCAGGGCUCACUCCGAAACAGGAUAUUGGGUUAGAAAUGGCCGUCUUGGGACCCUCAAUAUGACAUAAAUAACAGAUUUACUUUACACAUUCACUGAUCUAAUGGAAUCCCUUGCAGAUUUCACACACAUAAAACCUUUCACUAAAUCUCAUGAUUCUUGAAUAGAGUUGAGCAUUUUUGCUCAAGGUGCACCUUAAAAACGCUGCCCUGAAAGUGAGUACAGCGGCAUGGAAGUUGAAGCUGUCACAUGCUGUUUGGAAAAUUUGAAUAAAUGGCCUGCACUUCUAAUCACUGACAGGUAAUACAAAAAAUCUGAAAUUCAUUUUGCCACCAAGACUAACAGUGAACUUAUGACAAGCCUGAAUGGCUUAAUAGGCUGAAGUCACUGCUCCACCUGGGCCAGUCAGGCCUGAAACAUUGCUCACUGAUAACUGGGUUUGACUUGAGACAUGAUGUAACGCCCACUGAUAAAACAAAGACCCUGGCCUGCUGGAUGGAGCAGGAGAUUAAAAACAAAAGGCCUUAGCGUCACAGCGCAGGGUUUGACCACUCACAGGUACUGGUAUCCUACAAUUCAAACCUUCUUUCAAAUUCCGCCAGCGUUAUGUCAAUGGAAGUACGGCAGAGAAACUUUAUUUGAUUCUAAAUGAGGGCCAGUCUUGUGUGAACAAAUGCCCACCUUGUGCCAGUUGGCAGAAAGGAAAUGUUUUACAAGAUAUUGGCACUUACAGAACAUGAACUAUUUUUCUUGGCAAAAAAGCCUCCUCUAAUUUUAACCAUGCCCAUCUCCAAUAUUGUAGUCAAUUUCAUUUCCUGUAAUAGACUGUGCUUGAGGCCAAAAUGUGCCAUUAGUUUCUGCAGUGUCUAUAAAGACAAACGUUCUACAGAGGAGUUAUCAGAGCUUUUUCAUCAUUAUUGCACCCAUUAUUGA